rnacentral:lncRNA from 1 species
CUGCUUCUUUUCCACUGAUUCUUUACUUUGACCAAGCCGUCAGUGGAGUAAGCUCGUCUACUGUUACUAUUGAUUCUGAACUACAAGGAAAUCAGGACCUUGUUUGGGAACCAGUUUCGGAUAAAAACUCUCAACUGUCUUGUGUAUGGGUUGCUCGUCUGAAAUUUGACAGUACUGAACCUUGCUUUCGCAAGGAAAACAAAGUGAAGGUCAGCCUUGGGAAGUCUCAAGGAAUUGUUUCUUCCAGGGGAUGUAACUUGAGCGCUCCUUUUGAGUUUGUAUUUACAGUGCAUAUUCAUGACACUGUCGGAGAGCCACAAGAAGGCAUUGUUUCGUGGACGGAUGGUUUUGACAAUUGGGAUGCACAGUCGAAGGAUUUGAAUUCUCUUAUCACCUCGUAUCAGUUAAACGCUGAUACAGGUUUUGAGUGGCGUAAGCAAGCUAUAAAGACAGAGAUUGAAUGUUUUCGUGAUUUGCAUGACAGGUAUAAAUAAUCCUGUAAACUUUCUAGAUUUAAUGGAAAAGAGAAAUUGUAGUCUUGACCUUCUGAGUUCUUCUUUCCUUUUUUGUAGCAAAUUUGGAAAGCUCAUUCUUGCAAGGCUUUUGAUGGCUGAGGAAACUAUGAUCUCGGAUGAUGCUGUUAAGGGUGUCCAUUAUGUUGAAAUCCUCCAGCUGUAUAACGAUCUGAUGGUUCUUAAUUCUUCGCAUUACCAGUACUACAAGGAUGAGCACAGCGUAGCUCUUCUCCACAAGGUACUUAGUCUUCCUUUUAGCUGUGAAUCUCAAAGUUGUAUGAGUCAUAAAGAGAAUGUUGAUGCACAGGUGACUUCAAGCACCGAAUCCCUGUCCAGACACCUCUUUCUGUACAGGAAUAUGAACAAUAUUGUAUGUCUAAGGCUCAGUAACUUAACAUUAUCUCGGAUAGCCACUGUCGAGAAGUUUCUAUUUGUCCAAAUGUUAGAUCUCAGUUACAAUGACCUUCAUUCCGCUGAAGGUAUGUAGUGUUUUCUAACGCUUUGAUUGAGUCUUGAAUAUCAGUUUUUGCAUAUGUGUGAUAUAAUAUGGGUCUGUAGGAUUGGAGGCGAUGCAGCUUCUCUGUUGCCUAAAUCUGUGUCACAACAGAAUCAGGAGCUUUUCAGCCCUUGAUUCUCUAAGACAUCUGAAGCAGCUUAGAGUGUUGGAUGUUUCACAUAACGACAUGGGCGGCAAGCACCCAGUGGACACAACAGGGUACCUUUGUUCUAGGCCGCUCUCUAAUUCGGCUGAAAUUGGAAGACAGGUGCCUUGUAAAUACUGGGAUGCGUAUUUGGUGCUUAGAGAUUUGAAGAAACUGAAGCAGUUAGAUAUAAUAAGAGGCAACGACCUAAUUGCAGGGGAAGAGUUCAGCUCCUUUGUCCGCCAGGUUCUUCCAAAGCUUGUAUGGCUUGAUGGCCACAAACUCGCUAGUUAAAAUAUAAAUGUUAGGCCACUUCCUUUUUUUUCUUUUUAAUCUAUUGUUUUUUGGUUCAGUUUGAUGAUCUUAAAUAAGAAAACCAAGUCAAGUCUAUAAAAAGAUAAUUUUAAAAAUUAAUCAAUAAUUACUAGUUUUCUGAGUAAUUUAAAAAAUCCUAGAAUCACAAACACGCUUGUGCUCCUCCAGGAAGGGAGAAGGCUUGAUUAGUUACGUCUUCAACAACACGCUUGAGUUCAGCUUUCGCUGUCUUAACAGAUUUUUCGGUAGGCCCUUCAACGAACAAAUAGAGCUUGCGUUCCCCAGGUCCCGUGAUACGUCCUGCCUCAUAAAACUUACCUCUUCGUAAUGGAAGCUCUACUCUACUCUCAUAUUGGUUCAAGCGUUUCUUUGUGGGUAACUUUCCACUGAGCAUUCUGUGGGAAAUCAUUGAUUUCCAACUCUGCUUCAUAGUAUUGAGCUUGAAUCUUUGCAAGGUAGUGUUGCACGUUAGCACUUAGCAGCAGCAACAACAAUGGCUGCAACGCGGCCUGCUCCAUCAGUAGGAGGGACCACCUGGCUCGGUGGCUAGCCCGACAGCAUUUGGCAGCAAUUGGUUAGCAGUCACAGGAGCUUUUGCAGGAGCAGCAAUGGCGGCUAUCUGAGCAAGAGUAAUCUGCUGCUGUGAGAUAUCACCACCAGCCUUUGUUACUACAUCAUUCUCAUCUUCUGAGUCAGACUUCUCUUCCUCAAAGCCAUACUCCUUUGCUUGUGCUUUCUUUGCAGCUUUCCUAACUUCAUCCUCCUCUUCGUUGAAUUUAAAGCCACUGCCACCAUAGCCAGUUCCAUGAGCAUGCUCAAUACCCUGUUUUACUUUCGCCAGGAACUGGCUCCUCAGAUAGUUCCAGGGCCUUGACUAAAUCUGGUGCAUAUUUUGCAUCAUCCUCAGAGAGAAAUGUUACAGCACAGCCUUUCCGUCCUGCCCUACCUGUCCUGCCAACACGAUGCACAUAGUCUUCAUAGUGGUUUGGUGCAUCGAAGUUUACAACCAACUCAAGCUCUUUCACAUCUAGGCACCUCGCUGCAACACUUGUGGCAAUCAACAAAUUGCAGACAUUGUUCUUUUUUUUUUUUUUUUUGUCAAUCAUGCAGACAUUGUUCUUAAAAUCAGAUAUAGCUGAUUCACGAUCAGUCUGUUCCUUACCCCCGUGAAGAGAUAGACAGGCGUAGCCACAUUUGGUCAUCAAAUCAUUUCCUCUUCAUCCAUUCUCAGAGACAGUAACAGCUGUCUCAUUCUCCGAGUCGAUCAUCUUGGCAUCUCCACCAUUUUCGAGUUUAGUAUCACCAUUAACAUCCACGUCUGAGUCUGAUUUAUCUUCAUCAUCAGAUUCACCUUCAAGAGUCCAAGCCUUAAAGGCCUCAGGGCCCUUACUUUCAAUUUGAGCUUCCUCCUUUUCUUGCACAAAAGUCAUUUGCACAAAAGUCAUUUGCACAAAAGUCAUUUUCCAAAUUCACCACACUCUGUUCCUUCCGGUCUACUAAACGAGAGGCAAUUCCAAAAACCCGAAUCGUAAUUUUCAAUUGAACCGGUAUCGUAAUUUUCAAUUGAGCUAGGUUUACUAGGACCGGUUCCUUAAUCAUAUAUAUAUAUACACAGUAGUUGUUCUUAGGUUUCCCGUGAACUUGUGAAAACCCAAAUCCAAAUCCAAAUUGGAGAAGAAGAAUGCACGGUCGUCCGAGGAAGGCGGCUUCGAAGCCAGAAGCCUCGGCUGCUAAAGCCUUAAAGCUCCGGUCGGUCCAGUCCCAGUUCAUGUCCAAUCACCAUCGAAAGAUGUACAGUCUUCUUCUCUUUCCUUUCUAUCGAUCAAUCAAUCAAAUCAUUUGUUGAUCUUCUUUUUGGUAUCUAGUUACACACAGGAAGCAAUUCAAUUAAGCGCGAAGCUUCUAGCAAUCAAUCCGGAGGCCUACACGGCUUGGAACUAUCGGAAGCUCGCCGUCGAGGAUAACCUUUCCCGAAUCGACGACUCUGAUCCAAGCUUGGUCAACUCAAUUCUCAAUGAAGAACUUGAAGUCGUGAGUGCUUGGUUUAAUAUAUAGAACUCAAUUCUCAAUUCACUCAUUGGUUGAUGUGUUAGAUUGGUUGCUUCACAUCCCAUUCAUGUCAAUCGAUUGCCUUUUCGUGUUGAUUCAGGUAGCAAUUGCCCUUCGGCGAAAUCUCAAGUCCUAUGGGGCUUGGUAUCAUCGAAAGUGGGUUUUGAGUAAAGGGCAUUCCUCCUUAGAAAAGGAAUUGCAACUUUUGAAUAAAUAUCAAAAGCUCGAUCUCAGGAACUUUCACGCUUGGAACUAUCGCAGGUGAGAGAUUCAGGGAAUUGCUUCACAUUGUCAAUCAGCUUUUGCAUAUUUCAUAUCUCUGUCUUGUUCCUUUUUCCAGGUUUGUCUUGGAGCUAACCAAGACGCCACAACAGGAUGAGUUGCACUAUACAACUGAUAUGAUCAAUGAUGUUAGUUUCAGCAACUAUUCUGCGUGGCACAAUCGUAGGUAUGCAUAUUUAAACUAAUGGACUAGAUUGAUGAUGGUCAGAGAGAUAUAAUUUGCUUAUCAACUAUAUCAAGUUUACUUUUUUUUUUUUUUUUGUUGGGUUGAUAGUACCAGUAUACCACCAUAUUUUAACACAACUAAGGUUUUCUAACACUAUAGCUUCUUGAUCCAGUAAGCAAAGUAUUUUUAUCCACAGUGCGCUCUAUUAUUAGCUGAAAAUAUGAUCCGUUUUUCUCUUUCUGCAGUGAACUUCUUUCAAGUUUAGUCGCAAAAAAGGCUGAUGGGUUUAUGCCAAAGGAAACGAUUCGUCGUGAAUUAGAUUAUGUACAUAAUGCUAUUUUUACGGACGAAGAUGACCAAAGUGCUUGGUUUUAUUAUCUUUGGCUUCUUGAUCAAACUGUUAAAAUGGAGACUCCUCUUCGCACUUCCUCGUGGCCUUCAGAUGGUUCCAUUAUCAUCCUAUCUGGACCUGGGUGCUUCAAUGGCUCUUCUUCUUCUUCUAAGUUCACUACUUUCUGUUCCGAGUCUGGUUCUUUUCCACUGAUUCUUUACUUUGACCAAGCCGUCAGUGGAGUAAGCUCGUCUACUGUUACUAUUGAUUCUGAACUACAAGGAAAUCAGGACCUUGUUUGGGAACCAGUUUCGGAUAAAAACUCUCAACUGUCUUGUGUAUGGGUUGCUCGUCUGAAAUUUGACAGUGCUGAACCUUGCUUUCGCAAGGAAAACAAAGUGAAGGUCAGCCUUGGGAAGUCUCAAGGAAUUGUUUCUUCCAGGGGAUGUUACUUGAGCGCUCCUUAUGAGU